GAUGAACGCUGGCGGCGUGCCUAAUACAUGCAAGUCGAGCGAACAGACGAGGAGCUUGCUCCUCUGACGUUAGCGGCGGACGGGUGAGUAACACGUGGAUAACCUACCUAUAAGACUGGGAUAACUUCGGGAAACCGGAGCUAAUACCGGAUAAUAUAUUGAACCGCAUGGUUCAAUAGUGAAAGACGGUUUUGCUGUCACUUAUAGAUGGAUCCGCGCCGCAUUAGCUAGUUGGUAAGGUAACGGCUUACCAAGGCAACGAUGCGUAGCCGACCUGUGAGGGUGAUCGGCCACACUGGAACUGAGACACGGUCCAGACUCCUACGGGAGGCAGCAGUAGGGAAUCUUCCGCAAUGGGCGAAAGCCUGACGGAGCAACGCCGCGUGAGUGAUGAAGGUCUUCGGAUCGUAAAACUCUGUUAUUAGGGAAGAACAAAUGUGUAAGUAACUAUGCACGUCUUGACGGUACCUAAUCAGAAGGCCACGGCUAACUACGUG
rnacentral:rRNA from 1 species